rnacentral:sRNA from 1 species
GGUAACGUUGCUGGUGAGCGCCAACAAAACUGGAUGCUCGCAAUGUUUCGGUCGCUUUGCUCUUCUGACCACGGAUGUACUGGCAUUGGUGUGGGAGCGACAAUCAGGAAGGUCGGCGCGUUUCGCUCCGGCCUUUUUUGUU